UACGUAGGGUGCGAGCGUUAAUCGGAAUUACUGGGCGUAAAGGGUGCGCAGGCGGUUUUGUAAGCCAGAUGUGAAAUCCCCGGGCUCAACCUGGGAAUGGCAUUUGGGACUGCAAGGCUAGAGUGUGGCAGAGGAGACUGGAAUUCCCGGUGUAGCAGUGAAAUGCGUAGAUAUCGGGAGGAACACCGGUGGCGAAGGCGGCAUCCUGGACCGACACUGACACUGAGGAGCGAAAGCCAGGGGAGCAAACGGG
rnacentral:rRNA from 1 species